UUCGGCCGGCGGAGGAAAGUCCGAGCUCCGUAGGGCAGGGUGCCGGGUAACGCCCGGGCGUCGUGAGGCGAUGGAAAGUGCCACAGAGAGCAGACCGCCGAUGGCCGCUUGCGGCACAGGCAAGGGUGAAAGGGUGCGGUAAGAGCGCACCGGGCUUCCUGGCAACAGGGGUCGCAUGGUAAACCCCAUCCGGAGCAAGGCCACAUAGGAGACGAGGGGCUGCCCGCCCCGUCCGAGUCUCGGGUAGGCCGCACCGAGGUCGUCGGAGACGACGGCCCCAGAUGAAUGAUCCUCCCCCGAAAGGGGACAGAACUCGGCUUAUUCGCACGCUCCACCG
rnacentral:RNase_P_RNA from 1 species